AUCAUUGAUGAUAAAUGUUACGAUUACCGUAUGCUCAUGUCAUGCAAAUCGUUCUUGUUACGAAACUUGUGUGGUUGACAAUUGAUUAAUAUCAUAAGAAGAAGAGAAAAUAAAACAAAUACUGAGGCAUCAAAAUAAGAACUAGUGCAUCCAUGAAAAUAAAUUAGGAAGCAGCUUAGGACUCUGGCCUGGAUAUUGGUCAGCAGCACCACAAACAAUUGCUUCUCCUUCCUCAAUUAUUUACCACAUGUCAGACCAAUCCAAACCUCCAUUCCAAUUAAUCUAAAAUAAAAAUCAUUGAAUUAAUUUUUGAAAAAUAAAAAGAGAAGAGAAGUGGGUGUUGUGGUUGAUGGAAGUCAAAAUGAGGUGCCGCCAUCAUCGAUGACUAAAAAUAGGCAACGAAUCCACUGUUUUGCUGGAGAUGAGAGAGAGAGAG
rnacentral:lncRNA from 1 species